rnacentral:rRNA from 1 species
AGCAGCCGCGGUAAUUCCAGCUCCAAUAGCGUAUAUUAAAGUUGUUGCAGUUAAAAAGCUCGUAGUUGAAUUUCGGGAUUGGCGCAUCGGUCGUGCCUUACGGGGUAUGAACUGGUGCAGUCAAUUUCUCACCUUCUGGAGAACCGCGAUGUCCUUAAUUGGGUGCCGCGGGGAACCAGGACCUUUACUUUGAAAAAAUUAGAGUGUUUAAAGCAGGCAUUUUUGCUUGAAUACAUUAGCAUGGAAUAAUAAAAUAGGACGGCAUGGUUCUAUUUUGUUGGUUUCUAGGACCACCGUAAUGAUUAAUAGGGAUAGUUGGGGGCAUUAGUAUUCAAUUGUCAGAGGUGAAAUUCUUGGAUUUAUUGAAGACUAACUACUGCGAAAGCACUUGCCAAGGAUGUUUUCAUUAAUCAAGAACGAAAGUUAGGGGAUCGAAGACGAUCAGAUACCGUCGUAGUCUUAACCAUAAACUAUAGCCGACUAGGAAUCAGACGAUGUUAAUUUUUAAUGACUCGUUUGG